rnacentral:lncRNA from 13 species
AUAAAGUUGACUUAAAUUACAGUGCUGUUCGAUGAACUAGGUUAUUGUUUGAUAAUGUACUAGAUUUAUUCAGAAGUAUAGAUGUCUACAUCGGUACAUUUUAUUGAGUGACGGGAGUUGACGCCAAGUCAACGGGGGGGCGUUGCUCAAAUGUCUUAGGCUGCGUUUUAUACAGGCAGCCCAAUUCUGAUAAUGUUUACUAAUUGGUCUGUUGACCAAUUUGGAGCAGCUCUGAAAAAGAUCAGAAUUGGUUGCCUGUAUAAAUGCAGCCUUAAAAGCAUCUCUUGUCUAAGAUGAAGGGUGGUACAGUAGGGUUGUGGGAUGGGAAGACAAGAGGAAGUGAGGCAACACAGUUUAGGUUCACCCAUAGAAUCAAGUGCCUAAUUCAAAGGGAUGUCCUGUAUCUCCAUUUUUUUCAUUGUUGCACAGAAGCCUGCAUGAGGGUCUGGCUCAAGCCACUAUCAUGACACAGCAAGGAUACAAUGCAAUAACUUACUAAAAUGUCUGUGCUGGGGGUA